rnacentral:sRNA from 1 species
UGCUGUCUGUCAGAGCCUCAGACAGAUGGCAGAAAAAUGUCAGCAGGACCCUGAGAGUUGCUGGUAUUUCCACCAGACAGCUAUACCUUGCCUGCUUGCCUUGGCUGUGCAGGCCUCUAUGCCAGAGAAGGAGCCCUCAGUUCUGAGAAAAGUACUGUUGGAGGAUGAGGUGUUGGCUGCCAUGGUGUCUGUCAUUGGCACUGCUACAACCCACCUGAGCCCUGAGUUAGCUGCCCAGAGUGUGACAUACAUUGUGCCCCUCUUCUUGGAUGGCAACGUCUCCUUUCUGCCUGAAAACAGCUUCCCGAGCAGAUUCCAGCCAUUCCAGGAUGGCUCCUCAGGGCAGAGGCGGCUGAUUGCACUGCUUAUGGCCUUUGUCUGCUCCCUGCCUCGAAAUGUAAGUGAGCACAUUUGGGAAGUACUGUUAUUUAACCUUGACAAGGUGACUCUGGGCUGAAAUUUGCCACAGGCUAAGCUGAUCUUUUACUUCCCCCACCAGAGAAGUUAGUUCUCAUCCAUCCCGGUCCCUGCUGCCACUAUGUACUGGUUCUCUUGGAGUUCAAGUGUUCUCUGGGUCCAUUACAUGGCCAGGUUUUCUGUAGGUGGAAAUCCCUCAGCUGAACCAACUCAUGCGGGAGCUUUUGGAACUGAGCUGCUGCCACAGCUGCCCCUUUUCUUCCACCGCUGCUGCCAAGUGCUUUGCAGGACUCCUCAACAAGCACCCUGCAGGGCAGCAGCUGGAUGAAUUCCUACAGCUGGCUGUGGACAAAGUGGAGGCUGGCCUGGGCUCUGGGCCCUGUCGUAGUCAGGCCUUCACUCUUCUUCUCUGGGUAACAAAGGCCCUAGUGCUCAGAUACCAUCCUCUCAGCUCCUGCCUUACAGCCCGGCUCAUGGGCCUCCUGAGUGACCCAGAAUUAGGUCCAGCAGCAGCUGAUGGCUUCUCUCUGCUCAUGUCUGACUGCACUGAUGUGCUGACUCGUGCUGGCCAUGCUGAAGUGCGGAUCAUGUUCCGCCAGCGGUUCUUCACAGAUAAUGUGCCUGCUUUGGUCCAGGGCUUCCAUGCUGCUCCCCAAGAUGUGAAGCCAAACUACUUGAAGGGUCUUUCUCAUGUACUUAACAGGCUGCCCAAGCCUGUACUCUUGCCAGAGCUGCCCACGCUUCUUUCCUUGCUGCUGGAGGCCCUGUCCUGCCCUGACUGUGUGGUGCAGCUCUCCACCCUCAGCUGCCUUCAGCCUCUUCUACUGGAAGCACCCCAAGUCAUGAGUCUUCACGUGGACACCCUCGUCACCAAGUUUCUGAACCUCAGCUCUAGCCCUUCCAUGGUGCGUUGAGCCCCAGCAACUCUUAGGCACCAGCAUCUCUCCCUGGGCAUGCUCUCACCUCCUUGUGGUUGUGUUCCAGGCUGUCCGGAUCGCCGCACUGCAGUGCAUGCAUGCUCUCACUCGCCUGCCCACCCCUGUGCUGCUGCCGUACAAACCACAGGUGAUUCGGGCCUUAGCCAAACCCCUGGAUGACAAGAAGAGACUGGUGCGCAAGGAAGCAGUGUCAGCCAGAGGGGAGUGGUGAGUUUCUAGGUCGUGGGGAGAGAUGGGACCAAGAUGAGCCUCAUCACUAAUGCUGCCAACUUUCUUUUUGCCUACAGGUUUCUGUUGGGGAGCCCUGGCAGCUGAGCCCUCAGUCCUGGCCUAGACUGUUCUGACAAUCUAACCUGGGAUUACUAACUGUUGAGCCAUCUUCCCCAAAGCAGGGAAACCACUGGUCUCUGACUGCCUUUCCCACAGACACAGCACAAAUGCUAGGCCUCUGUUGCAUGGCUGUACAAGGAACAUAAGAGUCCAUAUUUCUAGUGGAUUUGUAAAAUAAGUGUGUGUGAGACACUUGUGUUUGAAGAAAGAUCUAGGGUCCUGGGUCUCUUGCAUUUAUAUGUCAGAAAAGGGGCGAUAUGCUGCUGAGGGGUGAGUGCAUAUGAGUGUGGCCCUGAGGACCAGGGCUGGCAGAUGUUGUCUACCUGCUGAAGAAUAAAGAUUUCUUUUGGUAA